UGUUGUAUGUAUUAUAUACUGUAUUCUUACAAUAAAAUACAGAAAAAGUUUUAAGAAAAUCAUGAGGAGAAAAUAUAUUUAUUAUAUAUUAAGUGGAAGUGGAUCAUCAUAAAGGUCUUCAUCCUUGUCUUUACCCUGAGUAGGCUGAGGAGGAGGAGGAGGAAGUGGGGGGUUGGUCUUGCUGUGCCAAGGGUGCCAGAGGUGGAAGAGGUAGAAGAAGGGGCUGACGCAUCGGGUGUAACUUUUACAGAAAAAAAAAACCGCAUGUAAGUGGACCCACAGAGUUCAAACCUGUAUUGUUCAAGGGUCAAUUGUAUACUUAUGUUGUACAACAUGAUGUUUUGAGAUACUUAUCAUUACAAAAUCAUUGCCCCAGUCAAGCUAGUUAAACAUAUCCAUCACCUCAAAUAAUUUCCUUUUAUUUGGAGAGGGGAAAGAACACAAGAUCUACUCUCUGAAAAUUUUAAAUACACAAAGCAGUAUCAUAGUCACCAUGCUGCACAGUGGAUCUCCAGAAUUCAUUCAUGUUGCAUAGCUGAACCUCUGCACCCUUUCACCAACAUCUGCUCACUUCCUGCACCCUCUGGCCUUUGGUAACCACCAUUCCACUCUCUGCUUCUGAGUCCAACCUUUUUAGAUUCCACAUAUAAGUGAGAUCAUCUGGUAUUUUUCUUUCUGUGUCUGGCUUAUUUCACUUAGCAUAAUGUUCUCUCAGCUCAUCCAUGUUGUCACAAAUGACAGGAUUUCCUUCUUCUGCAAGACUUGGUAUUCCACUGUGUGUGUGUAUACAUACAUGCAUUUUCUUGAUCCAUCUUUAUUUGUCAGUAGACACUGAGGCUUUUUCCCUAUCUUGGCUAUUGUGAAUAAUGCUGCAAUGAACAGGGGCUGCAGAGAUCUCUUCAAGGUACUGACUUCAUUUCUUUUGGAUAUACACCCAGAUGUGGGAUUCCUGGUAGCUGUUCUUAAUUUUUUCAGGAACUUCCUGUUUUCCAUAAUGGCUAUACCAAUUUACAUUCUCACCAAAGGUGGACAAGUGUUCGCUUUUCUCCACAUCCUCACCCACACUUGUUGUCUUUCGUCUGACAGUAGCCAUUCUGGCAGGUGUGAGGCAACGUCUCACUGUGUUUAUGAUGUGCAUUUCCCUGAUGAUCAGCGAUGCUGAGCAUUUUUUGAUAUACCUGUUUGGGCCUCACUGCUCUUCAAUUCAGCAUUUCCCAAACUUAUUAGAGCUCAGGUCCUUUUCAUUUUUUGCAAAACAUCUGUUAACAACAUACAGAACAAGUGUUCCACGGGGCACACUGCGAAAAAUGUUUCUAUAUGACAAUCCAUACCUAUGCCAACGGGAUUUUCUAGUUCAAGUAUGAUUUUGCAGUUAGACCCAAGGGCCCUCUCCCUAAUUGUUCCUGAAGAGCUGAGUCCUAAAGCCGCUGGGUGGGGCAGGGCAAAUCAGGCACCCUCCCAGAGGUGGGGCGGGUGAGAAGAGUGACCUCAUGUGUCAAGGUCAUGGAGGUUACAGAAAGGAGAAACUUUCCAGACAGAAGUAAACCAAAUGGCACAAUGAUCACCUGCAACACGUGACCAUCACAGGCUCCUCUACUGAAAAGGGCAUCAUUGUGACAGCUGUCAACACCGAAACAGCACUAAGGCUUAGCUGGCAGUACCGUCCCCACAUAUUGUGGUUCUGAUGGUGGCACCUUAGUCCUGUGAAGGUCCUCAUUUGUAGAAAUGUCUGGUGAUAGGAGGGAACUUAGUCUCAAAUGAUUCAGGGAAAAAAUAGUUCUUUGUUCUGUAAGUUUGAAUGUCUACAUGUUGUCUCAAAAUGUUUUAAAAGAAAGAAAAAUAAAACCCUGAAGCCAAGGGUGAGGUCACAAGUCCUUUCUUGAACCUGACUUCCUGCUUCCUUCCAGGGCUCUGUGCUCCACCCUGUCUCUAGCAACCCACCAUCACUUCUUGGUUGUCACCGAGGCCAGCAUCCCAAGGCUGCUUUCUCUGGGAUGGGGCUGAGUGGCACCAGAUGACCUCACCUGGGUUGUGAGCCCCUCAUUUUCACUCUCCCAGGUGUGACAACCAAUAACCCCAUUCACUAGAUUGUGUUUCCCUCAAACACUGAGCAUCAAAACAACAUUAUCAAUUACUUUUUAUUCAAUUUGUUUUGCAAACUGGUCAAACUACAAGAUAGCAUAAAAGGUAAAGAAAUACAAAUAACUGACCAUUCACAGCCUACCUUCAGUCUGUCCCUCUUUAAGAAAAAGACCUGGCUGGGCACGGUGGCUCACGCCUGUAAUCCCAGCACUUUCGGAGGCCGAGGCAGGUGGAUCAUGAGGUCAGGAGAUCGAGACCAUCCUGGCCAACACGGUGAAACCCUGUCGCUAUUAAAAAUACAAAAAUUAGCCGGGCGUGGCAGUGCGUGCCUUUAAUCCCAGCUACUAGGGAGGCUGAGGCAGGAGAAUCCCUUGAACCCGGGAGGCAGAGAUUGCAGUGAGCCGAGAUCAUGCCACUGCACUCCAGCCUGGCAACAGAGCGAGACUCCAUCUCGAAAGAAAGAGAGAAAGAAAAAGAGAGAGAGAGAAAAGGAAAGAAAGAAAGAGGAAAAAGGAAGGAAAGGAAAGGAAUGAAAGGAAGGAAACGAAGGAAAGAAAGACCUGACUUCCUCCCAGAGAGAGCCUCGCAGGCAGUCUGAGGCUUCUCAGCUCAGCACAGCCACAGCUCCCAUGCCCAACCUCCCAUCUGGUUGCUGAAGCGUCUCCAUCUCUUUACUUUCAUCUAGACUAUCUUGCUCAAAAGCCCAAUCUGGCCCUCCUACAGCUCUCAACUGCUUUCAGGACUUCAAACUCCUUACUGUGACAGUCACAACAGGCUCCAAGUUCUGGGCUUGCUUCUGCCUUACCUAUCCAACACCCCCAGGCCAUACUGUCCCCAACUCAAUGUGGCUAUCUUGCCGCCUUGCACACAAGCUCACCUGCACCACGACUGCCCGUUGACCCCAUUCUCACAGAACAAUGUCCAGAACUGACAGCAAGUAUGGCUCAAGAGGCCAACUACUAGUCAACAGAGUGGAACCGGAGAAGUAAGAAAGGACAUGAGUGUACCUCCCUGAGCCAUGGGAUUCUUCAGAGUCAGUAAAGGAUAUUUCCAGAAAUCCAGUCUCGUCCAUACAACCUCCUGGUGACACACACACUGGCUCCUUGUGACCCGAUCGCCAACAGGGGUAAGACCUGUGUACCCAUCAGUGCUUUAACUUGUACAAUGGAUCGGACCAGCCCAAAGUGUUCUUUAAUCACCAGGUGGCAUCUUAGUCGUGUGAAGGUCCUUGUUUGUAGGAAUGCCUGGUGAUGGGAAGAAACUUCAUCUCAAAUGAUUCAGGGAAAAAGAGUUCUUUGUCCUGUAAGUUCUAAUGUCUAUAUGUUGUCUCCUGUCUGUAUGUCUAUAUGUUCCUUCCUGAGGAAUCAUCUCGUGUUACGUAUUAUUUUAGGGUUGGUGAAGUACAGGCUUCAGAUGCUCUUAAAAUGUUCAUAAGAACCAGAUUUCCACUUCACUGUGGAUUUCCUUGGUGUGGGGUUUGCCUAUUCCAUCUUUAGCACCCCAGUUCUUAUUCUAUGUCUCUGUCAUUCAUGGACAGUCUCAAGAAAGGGGCACAAAAAAUUUUGUUGAAAGGAAGCUAAAUACCCAGGUUGUACUCCAUCAAUAAAAUCAUUUCUCUGAAAAAGAGUCCAAUUCUGAUUUGCUGUCACGGGAUGUUUUCCUAAAAAUAUCAUCUGUAACAACAGCUGGCAAGUAGUUACUCUUUUUUCAGAGGCUUGGGUUUCUAAGAGUCAAAGCAAAUGCACUCAAACGUGUUGUCACUUCUCCUUCCCCACUGACAGCGACAUUAGCAGGCAGCCAGUGGUGCAGACAACAUGCCUUUUUGCCAUCCAGCUUACCAAGGGGAUGGGCAGGUCCCUGCAUAUGCCCCUCCUUACAGAGAGGGCUCCCCAUGGUCUUAGCAGGAGGUGGGAAUGGCCUGGAGAACAGCCCCCUGGGUAGAAUGCCUGAGGACCAGCAUCUUUCUUUGGUCAUAAUGUAAACUUUUAGAAGACCUGACAUGUCUUCCUCAGGAGAGGUAUUGGAAAGUCCUUAAGAAUAACUUUUUUAAAAAGGUAACUCCAAUUGGAUAAUUUAAAAAUGAGACGGUUGAGGUUUUUGGACUCUACAGGAAAAAAAAAGGGAUGGAGAAUAGGAUGUUGAGUCUAAGAAGUUUGUUUAUAACACUGGAGUAACUUCCUGCUUCCAUGCAGGUAGCUCUCAGUCACUGCUGAGUAAUUUAAGAUGGAAAACUCAGUGAGUUUACUCAAGAGAAAACAUCUCCAUGUUAGAUCAGGUUGCACAAAAAAAAGCUUUAUUGACUCACUGGACUCUAAACUCCAUGUUCAUUGUUUUGAUGAACAGGACCACACCCCGAGGUUGGCCUGGAGAAGGUAAAGAAAUCGGAUCUAGAAAGAGCCAAGGGAAGGCAGAUUGGACCCAAAGUUAACACCUACGACCAGGAGACUCUGGAGAAAAAUGAAAGUGCUGCCUCAUAAAGGGUCAACGAGAACACCAGAGUUAAAACCCAAAUUCAGUCACUUAACAGAAAGAAAAGACAGGCAGGCAGAUGGGUAACUCGCUCGGGAACGUCUCACUAUCAAGGAAAAAAUGGUAACACCCAAUUAAUAAUUUAUCUUUUAUUGAAAUUGUUGAAUACUUU
rnacentral:lncRNA from 10 species